rnacentral:lncRNA from 10 species
GUGAGUUAAGACUUUGGGAGACUGCUGGCAAGGCAUGAUUGUAUUUUGCAAUGUGAGAAGGAUAUGAGAUUCGUGGGGUCAGGGACAGAAUAAUAUGGCUUUUCUCUAUGUCCCUACCAAAACUCAUGUGGAAUUAUAUUCUGUAAUGUCAGAGGCGGGGCCUAGGUGGAAAAAGAUUUAGUCAUAAAAUGGUGCAGGUAGAUCCUUCACGAAUGAUAAAGGACCAUCACCUUGAUAAAGGACCAUCACCUCCUGAUAGGCCUCAGUGCAUGGGCGGUGUCCAACCUCUGGUGCUGAAUCAGCCAAGAGAUCCAAGCCUGCUUGGCUGCCUCUUAGGAUAUGAAAGCACAGCCACUGGGCUCUACUGAAUCCUAUGCAACCUCAGAAGACACCCAGGAGUGAUGCCAUCACGUGGUGCAAGAGUUCUGAGGGACCGCAAUCCUGAAGACAUUGAAUGGCUGUGUUCCUGCUCAUUGCUGGAGGCACUGUCAGGGGCCCUGUCCUCAACCCCGGGUCUGACACUUGCAGAUCAGGCAGGACAUUCUGGAGGAAUCAUGCCCUUGGAAGGAUCCCUGAGGAGUGACUGUUGUUAGAUUAAAAAACAGUGGCAAAGAGCAAUACAGAGAGUUGCCAAAAUUCACACCGCUGGUCCAGGUUUGAAGCAAGCAAUCUGUACCUGCAGUCCUUGUCUGUAACCAUGGCACCCUGGCUUCUCACACAUCUCAUCGUGGAGUUCCACCAUGUGUCAGGCAUGGCACUGAGCACCUUCUUUUAAGAAUAUAAUUUGUAAUUAUGUAGAUUCUUAAUUCUACUUCAAAAUGCCACACAGCCUUCAUGUGAUAAAAUGAAACAAUUGCUCAACUGAUCUCCUGGGAUCUCUACUAAGAUGUUGGCAGCCCGGUCAGCUGGUCUGGCCCUGGACGUGCCUUCAGGGUCUGGUUAUGCUUCAUGACCUGCAUUGUGGUCAGUGGUAAGCAGCACCUGCUUCUAGCUUUACUGUUGGGUCAGAUUUUAUCCCCACUCCAGCUCUGCAGUGUGGCUGCUUCUUGAUUCAUCCAUGGACCCUGCACGAAAUUGCCCCAUGUUACUGUUUGUGCAUCACUGAGGAAGGAAGCAUGAAGGACGCACAGGUCAGGCCAUUCCAUUGCCCUCCUGGUGCUGGGUUUGCCCUCCCAAUCCUGGGGUUGCUUCAGGGGCUGGUCGUUCUCCAUAGCCCCCUCCACAUUUCUCAGGUUUCUGCUCAAAAGUCACCUUUCGGAGGGGUCUCCACCUGUCACUGUGUUUUUAAGAGCUCCUUCGGUUUCUUUCUAGCUCAUCUCACUCUGGUAAUGUCUUUGAUUACCACCACCAUCUGACCUGGUCUUAUGAUCUGUUAGCUUCCUUCAUCAGAUGUGAGCACCAGGAUGGCAGGGGCCUCAUCUGUCCUGUUCCUCCUGUGGCCUGGGUCCUAGCACCAUGUCUGGUACAGUGUAGAUGCUCAAGGGAAGUUUACUUUGUAGAACUGUUUAUCUGGGAGAUAUUACUGUUGGUCUAACCUGUACCAUAUUGUAAACCUCCAGCCAUUUUGCAGACUUUGAUCACAGUGAAACGUUCCAUGGGAACUUGGGCCAUGAGAAACAUCCUUCCUAACCACGUGACUGCAGAAACAUCCUUAUCACAUCCUCCUGGGCAAAGGCCCAACAGCCUGACUGCAGGGACAUCCUUGCCAUAUCCUGCUGGGCAGCAAGCUCUACCACCCAGAUCCCUCCCUCCCAGUCCCAUGAUUACCCCAGCCUGUGAGUGGCAGUUGGUUCUGGCACUAAGCUGGUUUCCUCCUCCCCAGGGUUUUGCUGGCAAUAAAGAUGUUGCUGUUGAAGCCACC